UUUCACAACAGCUCUGCGAAGCAUGAAUGCCCUAAUCUCUGCAGAGGCCAACUCAAAUAGCAGAUUUACCAUGCAGCGCCUUUAAGGCUAAGCAGUGAAUCAUUGCAUCUCAGGAAAAACUACAAGUCCCAUUCUGCAACCUGGAUGGUGUAUGACGCCAUGAUCUCUGCAGCUCGUUUGUGUUGGCUUUUUGCGGAGCGAGAAACGACGCGGAGAUGUCUGGGCUAAAGAAACCAACAUAGUUUUCUGCAGGGAAUUCGUUUUACAGACAUGGUUGAACCUCCAGUCGUGGCAGGAACCAAGUUGGUCAUGGAGCGCUUGACACUGCCAGUUGAGACAGUUGAACAAACAGUAGAAGUUGAGGAACAACCAAUACUUACAGGUGAACAAUACAUGGAAACGGAUGAACAAUACAUGGAAACUUAUGAACAACCAAUGGAGACAGGGUUACAACCAGUGGCAACUGAAGAACAACCAAUGAGUGAACUGCUACUUGUCACAGAAGAGGCUUCUGAGUGCGUCUCAGACCCCACGGCUUCUACAGAGAUAAUUCUUGAACUAUCUGCUGUUCCUCUAGAGUCUGCUGCUCCUGAAGAGCGGGAACUGGGCCAACCUGAGGAUGCACAGAAGGAGACCCAUGUGGAUGAUGUGGCCGCUAGUGACAGAAAAAAUAUUCCCCCCAAGAAGAACAGAAUGGAGCCACUCAAGAUGGACAUGUCUAGGCCACCAAAAAUGGUGACGCCGCUCACAUCUUCCCAGAUCUCUCUGCAGUGCCUGGAGUGUCACAUCAUCUUCAGCGACCACAAGAGCAAAGAGCGCCACCUCAAGCAGAGUCACCCGGCAGAGUAUGAGCAAUGCAUGCUGGGGGAUGCCCUGUUUGCCUGCUACGUCUGUGACCGCCAAUUCACUAACUCCAGUGACCUCAUGCUUCAUCAGCGUGCACACACGGAAAAGACACCCUUCAAGUGCCCCAUCUGUGGUGAGGCCUUCAGCCGUUCCUCUGAGCUCACCCUCCAUAAGAAGCUUCACUUCGGCCUGUACGGAUACACCUGCGCAGACUGUGGAAAACCCUGCAAGACACUCACCUUACUGAAGUAUCACCGCCGCACACACACAGGGGAGAGGCCCUAUGCGUGUAAGGAGUGUGGCAAGAGGUUUAGCAUGUCCAAGGCCCUCCAGAAACACGCACUAGCGCAUUCGCUGGAAGGAAUGAAAGAAGUUGUAGGGAUCACACCACCGAUGACGGCACAGCUAAAGAAGAAUAGUGGCACUGCAGUGGUAAAAUUUUCCUGCUCCGUGUGCAAGGCAACCUUCAAGACUGCCAAGACACGGCUGCAUCACAUGAAACACAAGCACAACCUGUGUGUUACAGCAUCCAGCAGCACCACACUAGCUGGCCAACAGGUGAAGCUAGGUCAGCCCAUCAUAACCCAGGUUCCUAUGGGCCAGCAAACCUUUCUCCACAUGGAACCCAUUGGGCCCUUCCAGCAGGUGGAAAACAUAGACACUGAACAAAUCCGGAAACUAAUAGAGUCUUUGGGGAACGUACGCAAAGUGAACCAGGUGGUGAUACUGGGACAGGUGCCGCCACACGGUCAACCAUUGGAUCUACAGCGGCUACAGGGAAAGAGAGAGCAUUUGCAACUCCGUUUUACUCAACCACAGUUUAUAGAGCUGAAAAAGAUUGGGGGUGGAGAGUUUAAGUUGAUGGGAUUGGAACAGGCAAAGCCACAAUGUGAAUCGCUGGAACCAAUUAUUACAUUGGAACCUGUAAUAUCAGAUGGACAAAUGGAGACCCCGUUACUUUCACACACACAGGAAGUUGCAUACGCUGUGCCAGCUGAGCAUGCUGGAUUAACACAAACACAUGAAGGAGAGAUGAUUCCUCAGCAGUUACUUGGACAGACUGGUCAGACAGUUGAAGAAGAGAACACUAUGAUUCAGACUGUAUCAGUGGAACAGGUGUUCUGUCACAGUGAAACAGUUGAGCUCGGGGAAACGACUGAACAAAGUCAAACUGUUGUGUUGGAAGUCACUCCUUCACUGUUACCAACUCUGGAAUUGGAACAGACUCAAACUGGUCAACAAGGACCUAUGUCUGCUUCCUCACUGCCAACAUUUCUAUUUGAACAGACUUCUGGACAGAAUCAAAGGGUUCAGGAGGGUAUGCGUGACGGGACAGACAUAUUUCCAACAGUGGCGUUAAAGCUGAUGCCAUUAAAAACUGACCAGCAGGAAGAACUCUCCACUUCCUCAUUGGUACCAACAGUUAAGUUUGCACAAACUCCUCCUGGACAAACAAGCCAGGUAGGAGAGACAGCCACACAGAUGGAGACAUUGCAGUUAGAGCAGAUCUAUUCCAGUAUUGGACAGACACAACAGACAGGAAUAGGACAGCGAAGAGCAGUUGAGAAACCUCUUCUAGAAAACACAGAGAAUGACCAGCAGCACAUUUUGGAAAAGCCUUAUGAAGGAAAGAAACAGACGGCACAAGAGCAGUUGCAGACACUGAUAGAUAAGUCUGUUUCUAACAACGCACUGAACAGCAGAGAGAUGCCUCGCACGCAGACGUCAGAAAUAUUCCCUCCGCUGUCCGAGACAAAGGCACCACAGAGUUUACAACUGCCUGUGCAUUUGAUGUCAGUACAAGAAUUUGUAAAAGUGAGGAAGAGAAAGCAACCGAAGAACUCUAUAGUGCAAGGAAAUAUGCAACAGCAGACGGUUGAGUUGAAAGGGAAGCCUGCCAAACGACCAAGAGCAAAGAAAGCUCAUCUUGUCGUGAAGUUUGGUCCUAAAGAAAAGCCUAAAAACCAGAAGAAGCUUCCACAACCAUCUAAGCUGCUUCAGAAAGGAGACCAGAUUCAGGAUAUGAAACAAAUGUCUCUCGCAACUCUACCUGAAAAGAAAUUGUCCUUAAAGGUUGGUAAAGAAAAAAAGGUCAAGAAGAAAACCGAUAUUUCCAAGUCAAAAAUCAAAUCCCCAUCUAUAUUGUGUGAACCACAUGUGCAGCAAGUCUUGCAGGUAGGCGAGCAGGUUCAGCAAGUGAAGCCGAGGAAGAAGAAAGUAAAAAAGCUAAAAUAUGUAAUUAGUGAGACUUUUGAGCAGAUUAGCGCUGAGCCGAUUAGCGAGCAAGAGGUGAUCGCUCCAUCCAAGCCAAAAAAGAAAAAGCAGCAGACGAUGGUGCAGGAGGACCAGCCUAAGAAAACAAAGGGGCAAAAGCUGUCAAAAACAGGGAGAAAGAAAAAGAAACCGAAUGUGGAAGCAAGCCCAAUAUCAGAAGAUAUGCCCGGCCCUAAAAUAAAGCAACAGUCUCUACUCCUACUGAAGGGUCACAAACAGCCCCAAUUGAAAGUUUACAAAUUAGAUGCCUCAAAAGCCCCCCAAGGUCAAACAGAUCUCCACAAAGACACCCAUCCCAUCCAUAAGAAGAAAGGGCCAAAAAGCAAACAACUAAAAAUGCUAGCUGCUGGAGGGAAAAAGAAAGUAGGGAGACCCAAAAAGAACCUCACAGCACUCUCUGUGUUGGCUCCUUUAAAGACUACGUCUCAUUCUUCUGACGCAUCUCUGACCAAGCCAAAAAUCAGCAGGAAACGUACGGCCCAAAAAGUGGAGACCGAGGGGAUCAUCAGUGGCUCUCAUUCCCGGCGAGCCCUUGAAUGUAAGGACUGUGGUGAGAGGUUCUCUGACGUCUCGUCCCUCCAGGAGCACAAGGCAGCCCUCCAUGCAGUGGAGAGCCCUGGUCUCACCUACACUAACGGCAACAUCUUUGAGGGCGUUUCUAGGUCAGAUCUAGGCCAGUCUCCACUAAAAGUGACAGAAGAGGUCAUUGACAAUUCAUUGAGUCAAAACGCAUUUGGAAUGCAGGUAGCAUCUGACUGGGAUAUGGAGGUGGAGAUGAGAGAGGUAGGGUUGGGAGAAAGAGGUGAGCGAGUCUCUUUCCCAGCCCUAAACACUUCCCCCUCUCUGCCUCUGGCUGCUGCGCUUGUUGAAGGUGGACAGAAGGGAAGGGAGAAGAACAUGCAUAAAAUUGCAGAGGGGAUGGAAUCAUUUUCUCAUAUGGCCCCAAAUUCAAAUAAAUCUUGCACCCCUCCACAAGUUCAAUUCCCAUAUCUGGCCAAAUCUGACAAGGUCCAACCCCUUCUGUUCGAGAGUCUUUCGCCUCCUCACCUCACACCCAGAGCCCCCCUCCACAGCUGUCACCAAACGGAGGACACUAAGUCAGAGAGUCAGGGCAGUAUGAAUGACACUGCCGAUGCUCUCAUACCUACCGUUUCUGGUUUUGAGCACCUAGGGCCUAUUGAGGAUGAAAUUAAAAAGGAGUUGCUACUUGAGGUGGAUUUGGUAACUGUUGGUGAUGGGGACCAAAAUGAGGGGGUACACCAGAGCUCACCUCAUGAAGACAGUUCACCAAAUGAGGGAUCCAGCCUUCAUGAAAACAACCGCACUCAUGCACUACCUGCAAAAGCUCAGAUUGGAAAUGUGAAUAGGACUGUAACAACACAAAAUGUACAGACUGAAUCCUGCCCCUCUGACCCACUGGAGAUCAAGCAAGAAGAGGAGGAGAUUAUGGUGCAGAGGAGAGAAGUGGAAAAGAGGGGAGUGGGAAGAAAGAAUUACACCAGGGGCAGGAAAAGAGGAGUUGGACGUGGGAGGAGAGGUUCAGCCACAAGGAAGGGUCUAGGAGGAGAGUGCAUGAGAGAAAUGGAACCAGAGAAAGAAACGGAUGAAUGUCAGGUAGUCUACCAGCUGUAUUCACUCAAUAAUGAUACUGAAAUCAAGGAUGAAGCAGACGUCACUACUCUCCAUCCUGGUCAGUCAUCUCCCAUCAGUUUACAGACCGAGAACAGAUCGAUCUCUGAGCAAAACAUGGUAACAGCUCCAUGUCCAUCUGGAUCCUGCAUCUCACCGCUUGAGGAGGACCCUGAGGACCAGGUAGUGUUUGAGCUAGAGUCAGUCACCACCAGUGUAGUGGAGGUGUUGAAGACCGAAGAUGGAAUGGUGAUGAAGGGAGUAGCAGGGGACCAGGACGACAGGGACACUGGCCAAUCCCCAGGCAUCAUACUGGAGAGGUUCCUCACCUCAAGGCAGAGCGAGGCAGCAGUGGGGGAGAAUGGAGUGGUGCUCAUGGCAGACUUGAGAGGUCAGGAGGUCAAGGUGGAGGAGAACACCUCCGAUUUGGUUCCCUUGCCACACACCUCUCGUGCCAGACACACAGUGGAGCAGAGGGGGGUCAGGAUGCAUCUUGUGAAGCAGGAAAACAACCUGGUUUUGAAUGAUCCCCAGGUUAGUCAAGGUCAAUCCCAAUUGAAUGUGGAGCAGAGCAGUACCAGGCAGUGCAUAUUCUACCCAGUGAAGGAGGAGCGGGAGCUUCUGGAGGAACCAUCUCGAAGUGAGCAGGGGGUACCAGCGCUGGUGGAGCCUGGAGAGGCCAGACUCGACCAUCCAGUGGAGACUCUAUCCACUACCAACCCUGCAGUAGAGGAGUAUGAGGUGAACAGGAGCACAGCAAAGUUUGGAUCUGAGAUAAAUGAGUAUGGAGAAGGUGAGCUGGACUUUGAGCAGCAAGAAACAGAGGAGCUUGUUGAUUUCCUACUUCAGAAUUCUGACGAAGUAGAGUCCGAGGUUGUUGAAUGUUCUGACCCUGAGGCUGUAGUUAUGGCCUGUUACCAUGACAGCCAAAGCCAUGCCUCACUGCAUUCAAAUUAUAUACCAUACAACUUGCCAACCACAGAAAGCCAGGCUCAUUCAGGAUCUAUGGGAGGGUCCCAGACAGGGACUGGCUACAGGAAACCAAUUGAUUACUUCUCCAAGUAUUUUGGUUGGGAUGCUUGGUCUGAGAUUGCCCGGUGCACAAAUAAAGUGUCCAAUCUGUCGAACCCAGUGACAGCAAAAGAGGUGGCCCAGUUUGUCGGAAUCCACAUUGCCAUGGGAACAUUGAAGUUCCCCAGUCUCAAGCUGUACUGGCAGGACUUCACCAGGGUGCCUCUGGUUGCUGACACCAUGUCUGCCUCCCGCUUCUCCCAACUCUCCUGCAAACUGCAACUGGCAUCUCCAGCGCCAGCAGGGGAUCCCAUGGACACCCAGGAAGCUGGACACAGUGGUAAUCCAGACAGGCCUAAGGAGGGAGACACCACACGCAACCCACUCCGAGCUUUACACACCCCAGCUAAUCCUACAGUUGGCACAACUAGAGGUGAACUGGAUGGCAGCGGCCACACACUUACACGCGGCCACAGUCAAAUACAAGCUCUUAGCUCCAAGUGUGUGUCUGCAAAAUCCACAACACAGACAUCCACAAUCCCUCACAGCAUUUGGCAGAGGUGUGGGGACAUACCAUCCAGCCAGGACUGUUUUAGUUUUAAAACUGACCCCCUUUGGCGGGUUAGACCGUUAAUGGACCACGUUCGGGCCAGAUACCUGAUGCUGAAAAGAGAGGGUGACCAUGGAGUCGAUCAAUACCCUCUCCCUUUGACGUGUAGAGCGGUCAACAACAAGCGGCCCUCCUUGCACAGCACUGUCUUAGUUAGAUCUGACGGUCUGAUCCUAGAUUUCAACCUUAGUCUGGAUCUCUCCAACAAAGAGACCACAGUUGAGAAAAUGGUGCCCAAAGAUGGGAUGGUGUAUCUCUGCAAGCAGGAGCUCUCUACCCCUGCCAUGUUGGAGCACCUCCUUGGGUCUGGGGUGCAUGGUGCGGGCAAGGUGGGAGGGGCCAAAGGACAGAUGGGUGAUGAGUUUGUUAGCUCUGACGGGCGGCUGAUGCUACACAGGUACCAUCUCGGCUUCAUCCUCUCUACUGUAGGGAAGGCCCAGCAGAACAUGGCAUCGCUCAUCGACAGCUUCGAGAAGGCCCAAAAGGCAGCCAGCCUCAAUAGAGACUUACUGAAUCUCUACCAUUCCCCACUCUCAGCCUCGGCACCAUCUAGCUGGCCACAGGCCGUUCUGUGGUACCUUACAGAUCUGGCUCUGGUAAACUCAUGGAUGCAGUACAGGCAGGAUCAUGUUCCUCUGCCUGAGCCUCUGAACCUCAUGGCAUUCAGGCUAGAGGUCUCCAAGGCCUUGAUCUUCUCCAGUGGCUCAGACACCCAGGACGCAGCCCCUCCGCACCCCCCUCAGAAAUUACACUCCCCGGGCACAGCCCCAGAUCCUGGCCUGUUACAGGAUAGUCCUCUCCCUGACAUGGCGAUGCGGUACGACGGUUCGGGCCACUGGCCGGAGCAGCUUGGGGAGGGAGAAGGUGGCAGGUGCUGCUUCGGAGGCUGUGAGCGAAUGUCUCGCGUACGAUGCCUCAAGUGUUGCGUGUUUCUCUGUAUCUCUCGUAACCACAACUGCUUCUUGAAUUUCCACAGUCAAGGGAGUUUUUGAAGCUGAUAAUAUUUGUUUUCCUUUUUAAUUGGUGCAUGUUUUAUUUAAUGCUAUGUUUAGCUUUUUUUAAAUUUAUUUUAAUUUUAGGUUAGAAGCUCUUAUUUCAUAAUUUUUCCCCCUACACCAUAGUUUUGAGUGCUUCUCUCUUUUCAGUAUCAGCUUCAGUCCUGUGCAGGAAAUUAAGAACUUGGUCACUUUUUAGCCUACUGUGUAAAUGUAAUCUUGAUGUAUGCAAUGGCUUUUGUUGUAUGAAAUUACCUACAAAAGAAAAUGUGAAUAGAGAAUUAAUGAUAAUCAUAAAGUCAAUGUCUCUGAAACCAAGUGAAAAUACAUUUUGAAGAUUUUUUUUGUUUGUAAUUCUCAUUUUUUUAAAUUCUCAUUCUGAACCUUGUUUUGUUGUUUACAUGCCAAUAAGCUUUUGCAUGUGUUUUUGGCGUUCUUUGUAAAUUGAAUAAUUGAGUUAUUUAAACUGUUGGAGCAAAUACAUGUACGUUUUCUAACAGUUUGGGUUGUGAAUUGUAUUGGUCUGCCUGCUGCUACCUGCUAGUCUCAAGGUACAUAAUUCACCGGAGUUAUUCAUCUAGUCUUUAGCUACAAACCGCAAAUUUAAUUCGAUUUACCAAAUCAACCGCACCCAAGCACAGACAAACACGUGUCUGCAUUUGCUCAGGUUUUUAGGGGAAAAGAGCAUAGACGCGUUCAAAAUUGAUUUUUUUGUUUGUUGAAGACUCAAAAUAUUGCCCUUGUCACGUGACAAGGGUCAAUUCAAUUUCCACAUUAACUUCACUGUACUGGAAGCGGUUUGAGGACAUCCAGUCUCCCAUGAUGGACUCAGACAUACUGAAUAUAGAGGAAAUAGUGAUGGGGAAGGGGCCACCAGAUCCCCCUGCAGAACUGACCACUGAGAAACCAGAACACUACAAACCCAUUGCCUCCUUCAAAGCACCACCUCCACCCACCAUUCAACCAUAUCAGCAUGAGAACCUGCAGUGUUUCCAGUGCUUCAUCACCUUCUGUAACUCCAAAGCCAAGGAGAGGCACAUGAAGAAGAGCCAUCGUGAGGAGUACAAGCAGCAGCUCCAGCAGGGAGAUACUCUGUUCACCUGCUAUGUGUGUGACCGUACCUUUCCGUCCUCGGAGGAGCUGACCCAGCACCAGGGCUCACACAACAAGGAGGACAAGCCCUUCAAGUGUCCCCACUGCCAGGAGAGCUUCCGCACCUUCUCUGAGCUGACGACCCACAGGAGACAGGUCUGUCCAGAGAGGCAAUUUGUGUGUAAGGACUGCAGUGAGACCUUCCGCAGCCCUGCCUUCCUUCGUACCCACCGCCUGGCCCAGCACCCCCGUCCAGAGGCUGAGGUGGAAGAGCCAGAUGACCCUACCAAGACCCACCGCUGUGGGAAGUGUAACCGGGGCUUCGAGACAGAGUCUGAGCUAAUAAUGCACCAGGAGAACCACGCCGGUGACCAGCACUGCAAUGGCAGCGCCUCGCCCGCCAAGAAGCGUGGACGGCCCUUUAAAGCAGAGGACUCAACGGUCGGAGGGAAGAAGAGAAAGAAGAAGGAAGAGGGCACAGAGGAGGCUGAGACUGGAAACAAUGCAGAGGAGGCUGCAGCAGCUCCGGCUGAGACCAAGGGGAAAGCAGGAGGCGGUGGCAGACGGGGCCGUCCUAAAGCAGCAGUAGGCGAGGAGGCCAGAGAAGACGACAGUGAAGCCCCAGCAGAGGAGAAGAAACCUAAAGCGGCUCCCGCUCCACCCAAGCAACACCCCUGCCCUGAGUGUGAGCUCACGUUCCCUGCCCUGGCCCAGCUCCGCGCCCACAAGAAGGAAAAGCACAUCCCACGUAAAGCCCACCCCUGCGAGGAGUGUGAUGAGAGCUUUGCCCGUCCCGAGCAGCUAGAAGCCCACAAGAACCGGGCACACAUCAAGGGGCGUUAUGCCUGCCCUACCUGUGGCAAGAGCUUUGGCCGAGAGAGCAACCUGAAGGGCCACCAGCAGAGCAGCCACCCAGAGGAGGAGGACAAGCAAGAGGCAGCGGGCCGCAGCAAGAGAUAAUUCAGAAUGGGGAAGGGGGGGAUUUUCUGUAAAGUGAUUGGGGGAGGGAGGACGAAGAAUCAGGGAUUUUUAAGAAUUUGAAUUUUGUCAAGGGUUUUUGUUGGUUUGAGGUUGGGUGUGAAAUUUAGAUCCUAAGUUUGAAGUGUUUCUAGAAAGUGAGAAAGACAGGUGAGGAAUUCUUUGCAGGAUUUUUAACAGGUGAGCUAAGGCAUCCCACUGAUAGUUCAGCAUUUGCCAUUUCUGGAUUGUGUUAGGAUGUUCAAGGCACACAUCACACUUGGAGUGACUGACUUACUAACCAAAAGAUGUAAGCUGUUAAAUCCAUCUGUUAUACACCUGUCUUAUCUGGACUAAGAACAACAAUAAUUAGUUUUGGGCAUCAUGUUUGUUCCAUUUGAUUAAUAUCUUUAAAUGAUUAUCAUGAUAAUGGAGUUACACCCCUAAAAAAUAAUGUAAAAACAGUAUGUAAAAUGCUUUUCAUGCUGUCUGACAAAUGGAGCUUUUCUUGUUUUAUGAUUUUUAUAUUGCUAAGUACGUGUUCUGUAGUAGCAGAUGAAAUGCAACAACCGUGCAUUUUAUAAAACCUGUUGGGGAUAUUUACUUUUUGAAAGAGCUUCUUGUGAUAAGUGAACAUGGAUUGGAAUGUUUGGGAAUUACAUAACGUCUCAUAGAAAUUGCAUCUAUUUAUAUAUGGUUUCUGGUGCAUUGUAAUGCUGAACUGUUUCUAGUAUGAUUAAUUUCUAAAUUAUACUGCUAUUAAAUGCGCAGGGUAUAAAAAAGAUCACUGUAUUUAUCCUCCUAAGUUAGUUUGGUUUAGGCCCAAUGGUUCUUUGGUUUCAUGCAUGGAUUUUAACAUGUCAUCCUAAACAAUGGUUGUAAUGAAGACUAAUAGACUCAAAUUAAGAUAAUCCUGCCACAAGCUACACCUUGUCACCUUUAUUUUGGAUUUGUUAUACUUAAUUUAAAUGUCAUAGAUAUUCUAAUGAACUUUCCAUAAAUUAUUUGCUUAAAUUUUGGCAUGAUGACGAAAUGACCAGAGGCCUGAAUGGACGUGUUCUUGUUUUCAUUAUUCUCCCCAUGUAACAUGCCUGGACACUCUGCCAAUAUGUAAUAAAGGUGCCCCAAGGGCUGCUACAGAAUGACA